rnacentral:tRNA from 1 species
GCAGUAGUGAUUCAAUGGUAGAAUUCUCACCUUCCAGGCAGGAGACCCAGGUUCGAUCCCAGGCCAGUGCA